rnacentral:lncRNA from 1 species
GGAAAUCAUCUCAAAGUCAAACAUUACUGGAAACACAUGGAAAAUCAGGAAUUUCCAGCCUAGAGUAAUUUGAAACAUUUGAGGUUUUAACUUUUUCCUUCAUGAUGACAAAUAUAAGCAGAAAUUUCAAAUUACUUAAUGAGUAGUAGUUGCCAUUGUAAUUGUAGUAGCUAGGAAUUGUUUUCCAUAAGCCUACAAUUAGUUUUUAUUUUUUUUAAGCUUACAUGGUAACAACACCUUGUUCAAGCUCUCCGGUUUCGUGAUCUCCCUAGAAACAAGUCAGGCCUGAUUAAGCUUAUUUGCCUUAUUCUGGUCAGUCAGGUAAGAAGCAGAGGUUAGUCCAGCAAAGCUAUUUUUUCCUGCCUCAUUCACCCCUGGCUAGUAAGGAAAUGAACACAGUAGCUAUCUAAUCAGUAAGCGUACC